GGUGUUGUGGCUCAAUGGUAGAGCACUUGCCUUGCACGCAUGAGGCACUGGGUUCGAUCCCAGCACCACCA
rnacentral:tRNA from 1 species